AUGAGGCGACGACAUGAGCUGCUGGUCUCGCCGUCUUGUUGCUUGAUCGGCCUUGUGCUGCUAUCGCCAUGUCUGCUCGAGCUCAGCGGCAAGCGCAGACAGAUCCGUCUGAAGGUGGACUACAUAUGGAGCAAAAUGAAUGAAUUCACACUUAAAAUGCAUCUAUAUACAUUCAUAUGUAAAACGGAGGGAGUAGUACCUAUAUAUUUCAUUAUUGCGACUGCUCCUACAACAUCAGCACAGUUUGCCACAUCACCAAGAUGUAAGAUGCAUAUUCUCAUACCACCCAUCAAUGGCACUUAUAGGGAGGCUUACUUCAUUGUUAGAUUGAAGAAAGUAUAUACACUAAAUGUGGUUGGUCAGAUUCCUGCGGAACUGCAAAAUCUGACUUACCUGACAAACCUGGAUUUAGCGCAGAAUUACUUGACUGGAUCUUUGCCAGCGUUUCUUGGAAAGCUCACUCGGUUGCAGUAUCUAUCUUUGGUAAUCAAUGCGUUAACUGGAGUUUUACCGAAGGAGCUGGGUAACCUCAAGAAUCUCGUUGCACUGGGCAUUAGCGCAAAUAAGUUCGUCAGUCCACUCCCAGUAGUAGAAAACCUGACCAAACUUGAGCAACUAUUAUCUGUACGACUACGCCAGGUUACGAGCAACAUACUUCUUCGGCACGACAGGCCGUAUAUCGAUAGUUGUGGUUUAAGUGGAGAGCUACCAUCUACCUUUUCCAAACUUAAGAACCUGAAAACCCUAUGGGCAUCAGAUAACGAGUUUACUGGGAAGAUACCUGAUUACAUCGGAAGCUUAUCAAAUUUGACGGACCUGGACUUGAGUUUUAACAUCAUCACAGGCAAAGUUUCUCCAGCCCUUCUGAACCUUAAUCGCCUCAAUUUCCUUGACCUGUCAUACAAUAUACUCUUAGGAAGAUACCCUUCUUGGGUUAACAAUAAUAAUUUGCAAGUUAUUUUGCCUUCAGGACUAAAUUGUCUUCAGCGAGAUACUCCAUGUUUUGGUUCUCCAUCUUAUUCCUCCUUUGCGGUGGACUCUGGUGGUUCGAGACCCAUCAGAGCCUCAGACAACUCCAUUUAUGAACCUGAUGAUGCCAGUCUUCAACUUGCAUCAUACUACGUUACAAACUCAACGAGAUGGGGUGUUAGCAACAUCGGGAGACCUAUGGAUUCCAUGAAUGAGAGUUACAUAGUAUACACUUCUCGCCGGUUUACCAACACUCUUGAUUCUGAACUAUUUCAGACAGCCAGAAUGUCACCCUCUUCAUUGAGAUACUAUGGCAUUGGGCUCAAGAAUGGCAUGUACAACGUUGUACUGCAGUUUGCAGAGAUCUAUUUCCCAGACGACCAGACAUGGAUAAGUCUGGGAAAGAGGAUUUUCAAUAUAUACGUCCAGGUGAAUAUAUUCUUGAAUAUAUUAACAAAUGGAAGAUCUUAUACUGUUGUUCAAAAGCAGUACAUUGUUGAAGUAACGAAUAAUUUCAUUGAUAUUCAUCUCUUUUGGGCUGGAAAGGGAACUUGUUGCAUUCCUAUCCAAGGGUUCUACGGGCCAUCAAUCUCAGCAUUAAGCGUAUCUUCUUAUGGGGUUCCUGGUCCACAGAAAAGCAAAACCAGCAAAAUAGGUUUGGUUGUCGGAGUUGUAGUCUGUGUUGCAGUAUUAGGCUUUCUAGCACUCGCCUGGGCCUUUGUUUGGAGACAGAAAAGAAGGAAGUUAGAGAUGGAAAUGGAAGAGCUGUUCAGUAUAGUUGGAAGGCCUAACGUCUUCAGUUAUGGUGAAAUAAAGUCUGCUACAGACAGUUUUAGUCCUGCUAAUAUUCUCGGAAGAGGGGGAUAUGGACUGGUUUACAAGGGUAAGCUACUUGAUGGGAGAAUGGUAGCUGUAAAGCAGCUGUCUUCUACAUCUCAUCAAGGGAAAAAGGAGUUCAUGACAGAAAUUGCAACCAUAUCUACGGUACAGCACCGAAACCUCGUGAAGUUGCACGGUUGUUGCAUCGACAGUAAGACGCCACUUUUGGUCUAUGAGUACCUGGAACAAGGGAGCCUCAACCAAGCAAUCCUUGGCAAGAUAGAUUUGAACCUGGAUUGGAGGACACGCUUUGAGAUAUGUGUAGGCAUUGCAAGAGGUCUAGCAUAUCUUCAUGAAGAGUCCAGCAUGAGAAUAGUGCACAGGGACAUCAAAGCCAGCAAUGUCUUGCUCGACGCCGAUCUCAACCCUAAGAUCUCCGACUUCGGGCUGUCCAGGCAUUAUAAGGACAGCAUGACACAUCUCAACACCGGAGUCGCUGGGACGCUUGGCUAUCUCGCACCUGAGUACGCGAUGAUGGGACACCUGACGGAAAAGGCCGAUGUUUUUGCAUUUGGCGUCGUGGCACUGGAGAUCAUCGCUGUACGCCGGAACUUCGAUGACUGUCUCGAGGAAGAUGAGAAGUAUCUUCUUGGUUGUGCCUGGCAUCUGCAAGAAAGCCAUCGGACACUCGAAUUGUUAGACAGUAAAGUCGCUGAAUUCGACGAGGAAGAGGCUGCACGACUCAUUAACGUUGCUCUUCUUUGCACGAUGGGCCUGCCCCAGCGACGCCCAGCGAUGUCCAAGGUCGUGGCCAUGCUCACGGAAGACAUCGAGAUGACCGACGGACGUGGACAGCACCAUGAGGCCUAG
rnacentral:rRNA from 1 species